GAUCCUGGCUCAGGAUGAACGCUGGCGGCAUGCCUAAGACAUGCAAGUCGUACGAGGCGGCCCACUGAUUCAGAUUGAGAUCUUGAGUGCUUGCACAAGAGAAGGAUUUCUGAUGACGUGGAUCCUCCGCCUAGUGGCAAACGGGUGAGUAACACGUGGGUUACCUACCUCAUAGAUCGGGAUACCAGUUGGAAACGAUUGUUAAUACCGAAUGUUAUCUACGGAUUAAAGGGAGCCCUUAAAGCUUCGCUAUGAGAUGGGCCUGCGGUGCAUUAGAUAGUUGGUGGGGCAAUGGCCUACCAAGUCGACGAUGCAUAGCUGAACUGAGAGGUUGAUCGGCCACACUGGGACUGAUACACGGCCCAGACUCCUACGGGAGACAGCAGUUAGGAAUAUUCGUCAAUGGGGGAAACCCUGAACGAGCAAUGCCGCGUGAAUGAUGAAGGCCCUAUGGGUUGUAAAAUUCUGUUGUUUGGGAAGAACUGCAGAAAUAGGAAAUGAUUUCUGUUUGACGGUACCAUUCAAGAAAGCUCCGGCUAACUACGUGCCAGCAGCCGCGGUAAUACGUAGGGAGCGAGCGUUAUCCGGAUUUAUUGGGCGUAAAGCGUCCGCAGCCGGUUUAUUAAGUGUGAAAUUAAAGCCCGGGGCUUAACUCCGGUUCGUUUCACAAACUGAUAGGCUAGAGUGUAGUAGAGGCAAGUGGAAUUUCUAGUGUAGCGGUGGAAUGCGUAGAUAUUAGAAGGAACACCAGUGGCGAAGGCGACUUGCUGGGCUAUUACUGACGGUCAGGGACGAAAGCGUGGGGAGCAAAUAGGAUUAGAUACCCUAGUAGUCCACGCUGUAAACGAUGAGUACUAAGUGUCGGGCAACCGGUGCUGAAGUUAACACAUUAAGUACUCCGCCUGAGUAGUACGGUCGCAAGGCUGAAAC
rnacentral:rRNA from 1 species